AUUACCAAAACUUUGUGGUGAGGAUGAUGAAUACGAACAGGCAGGCCAGGAAUAGAAUGAGCAUUAAAUUUUAGUUCAGACUUUUUAAAAUAAAACAUGCUUUUAUGACAUGAAUUUUGUUCGAUUUAUUUCAUUUAAAUUUUUGGAAGAUAUUUUAUUAGA